rnacentral:rRNA from 1 species
GACGUAGGGCGCGAGCGUUGUCCGGAUUUACUGGGCGUAAAGCGCGUGUAGGCGGUCUCGCAAGUCGGAUGUGAAAGCCCAGGGCUCAACCCUGGAAGUGCACUCGAUACUGCGAGGCUAGAGUCCCGGAGAGGAUGGUGGAACUCUCGGUGUAGAGGUGAAAUUCGUAGAUAUCGAGAAGAACACCGGUGGCGAAGGCGGCCAUCUGGACGGUGACUGACGCUGAGACGCGAAAGCGUGGGGAGCAAACAGG